rnacentral:rRNA from 1 species
GGUAACACUGAAUGGAGGACCGAACCGACUUACGUUGAAAAGUGAGCGGAUGAACUGAGGGUAGCGGAGAAAUUCCAAUCGAACCUGGAGAUAGCUGGUUCUCUCCGAAAUAGCUUUAGGGCUAGCCUCAAGUGAUGAUUAUUGGAGGUAGAGCACUGUUUGGACGAGGGGCCCCUCUCGGGUUACCGAAUUCAGACAAACUCCGAAUGCCAAUUAAUUUAACUUGGGAGUCAGAACAUGGGUGAUAAGGUCCGUGUUCGAAAGGGAAACAGCCCAGACCACCAGCUAAGGUCCCAAAAUAUAUGUUAAGUGGAAAAGGAUGUGGCGUUGCCCAGACAACUAGGAUGUUGGCUUAGAAGCAGCCAUCAUUUAAAGAGUGCGUAAUAGCUCACUAGUCGAGUGACACUGCGCCGAAAAUGUACCGGGGCUAAACAUAUUACCGAAGCUGUGGAUUGUCCUUUGGACAAUGGUAGGAGAGCGUUCUAAGGGCGUUGAAGCAUGAUCGUAAGGACAUGUGGAGCGCUUAGAAGUGAGAAUGCCGGUGUGAGUAGCGAAAGACGGGUGAGAAUCCCGUCCACCGAUUGACUAAGGUUUCCAGAGGAAGGCUCGUCCGCUCUGGGUUAGUCGGGUCCUAAGCUGAGGCCGACAGGCGUAGGCGAUGGAUAACAGGUUGAUAUUCCUGUACCACCUAUAAUCGUUUUAAUCGAUGGGGGGACGCAGUAGGAUAGGCGAAGCGUGCGAUUGGAUUGCACGUCUAAGCAGUAAGGCUGAGUAUUAGGCAAAUCCGGUACUC